GCUUAAGGGCACUUUUUAUGCUCUGGCAAAGCCCAAAGGUGUUCCUGCAUUCGUAAAAUGGUCGUGUUUUUAAAGGGUGCCCUCGGACUCGAGCGCGAAGCCAAGCGACGUAUCGAGGCGGUAAACGCAGGUCGGGGGGAGCAGGAACUGACUACAGGACACCGCCCCCUCGCAAGUGACGCUCAGGGUCGGCCCACAAGGCAGGAGUGACAAGAGGAAAUGAGCUUGGAGCGUACAAGUUGAAGGAGGAAGCAUCAA